rnacentral:rRNA from 1 species
CUACAUGAAGCUGGAGUUACGAGUAAUGGCAGAUCAGAAUGCUGCGGUGAAUGCGUUCCCGGGUCUUGUACACACCGCCCGUCACACCACGGGAGUUGGAGACGCCCGAAGCCGAUUAUCUAACCUUGUGGAAGAAGUCGUCGAAGGUGGAAUCAAUAACUGGGGUGAAGUCGUAACAAGGUAGCCGUAUCGGAAGGUGCGGCUGGAUCACCUCCUUUCUAAGGGGA